UUCGUCGGUGCACAUCGAUCUGGCUACUGUGCCCCUCCAGUGGAAGCUGCACAACCCCGCUAUGUCCUCAUCUUCUCGGAAAGGGCAACUUACCAUCGGGCUCGCCUCCUGCUAAUUUCCAAGGACGAUCCUGAUGAACAUGCUGAAGAAACACACAUGCUCUCCACCUGGAGAACACUUUUAGGAUGUGCUGAGUUUUUAUAGAGCGCCUCAAGGAUGUGCUGAGUUUUUAUAGAGCGCAUCAAGGAUGUGCUACAAGAGGGGAAGGUUUUGUAUCAGGAAAUUCAUGUGCAACCCGUCUGUAGAGCGCCUUUUCAUGGUUCAGUUCACGAAGUUUAUCGUUGUUGAAGAGAGGCCUGGGUUGGAAGAUGGUUGGAAGACAACUACUCCAGUUGACAAGGAGAACAAUGAAAGGAACUAUUCUGAAGGGCAAAGAAGUAAAGCUGAAAGCUACAAGGAAGCAAUGGAGCAAUUUGAGAACGUGGCCACAGAUCUUUCGCGAGAUGCUAAAAAGGUGAUAAGAAAACAAAAGGAACACAAGAAGUUGUAGUAACUGGUGCAUUGUUUUGGUCUUCCCAAGGUUGUAAAAAGCUUGGAAUGAAUCAGGGCCCCAAUCAUACCUACAACUGAUGAAGUUUUAUGUACAUACCUAAGCUCCUGUGUUUUAUUUCUAUAUUGGGUACUGUAUGACCCUGUUUUGCUACCACUCCCUUUUGGGUGAACCUAACUAACAAACAAUGUAUUAGUUCUACUCUAUUAGCUUAUUGCUAUAAGAAAUUGC